rnacentral:rRNA from 1 species
UACGGGGGGGAGCAAGCGUUGUUCGGAUUUACUGGGCGUAAAGGGCGCGUAGGCGGCCACCGCAAGUCGACUGUGAAAUCUCCGGGCUUAACCCGGAAAGGUCAGCCGAUACUGCGGGGGCUAGAGUGCAGAAGGGGCAACUGGAAUUCUCGGUGUAGCGGUGAAAUGCGUAGAUAUCGAGAGGAACACCUGCGGCGAAGGCGGGUUGCUGGGCUGACACUGACGCUGAAACGCGAAAGCUAGGGGAGCGAACGGG